UAAGUAACCUCUAGCUGCUAUUGCAUCUUCAGGAGGCCUUUCCAUCUGGCAGGUGUAACCUUUGGAGAAGACAUAUGCUACCAUCACUCUUCCUCUCCACCCACUGAGCUACAGCUGAGGUGAUAUGUGAUCAGAUGAUUCAGAGAAGACCCUCAGGGCAGGACUGCCUAAAAUAUCCAGAUAUUUGUACAGGCCUGGAUAAUGCUCAGCUCUGCGAGGUACAUGCUUGCUAUCUCUGCCUAAUUUUCAGGCACCUUUUUGGUAGGAAAUGGUGUCAGUGCUUUCCCCAUGCUCCGAUAAGCAGCACAUCACAGAGUGAAAUGCCCAGGAAGCAUAGGAUUCUGCUUGGGAUCAUCUAAUGAAUAAAGAAAUUGAAGACUGCAAGUUCAUCCUGCCUAGACCGCUUGUAUGGUGAGUGACAAGCUGAUGCUAAACUGACUGCAAUGUUAGCUACUAAAAGCCUCAGGCAGCAUACAGCAGGUAAACGGUUAAUUAAAAUGAUUCUUCAAGGAUACUUUUAAAGGAACAUGGAGCCUUUCCAAAUCUCCACAUGGAGUUAUUGAUGGAAAUUGCUGCUUCACGUUUUCUCUCAGGGAUACACACAGGAUGGGUUAUCUUAACUGUUUCUGACAUUUCUUCCAUCUGACCAUGAGGAUCCUGAGAUGGGAAGAUUAAAUUGCUCCUGUAAGAAUGAGAAGUGACACAGGUGAAAGCCAAAGAUACAGAAAUGUUUAAGCGACAUAUGAAGAUUCCUGAUAAAGCCUGAGCUCUUUUCUAGUACGGGGUGAGCCAUGCACACUGGAGAAUAGAUGUUCUCCUUGUUCUCUCAGAGGGCUUUGUAGCCUUUGCUUGCCCAAAGGCAUGCCAGAUUUUUUUCCUUUCUCCUGAACUAUUUUUUUCCAGUUUCCACUUUCUCAUCUGUUCCUCAUCUUUCCUCCCCCUAUCUCAUUCAUUUCUGAACAGCAACCUUCUUUUGCUCCAUUUAUUGAACUCUUUCUCAAAGUAAUGCAAUUCCUAUCCAUAUCCAAAUCCUUCUUCCUGACUUGUUCAUCCUUUCUCAUCCAUUGCUGCCUCCUCACUUGCACUAGCUCCCACUCCCUUUUUUUCCCACCCCAGACUCAGACUCUAAGGUUACCUUCUCCUGCUGCCAUCCCUUACCCUCCAGUGGCUUCAGCUCUUCCCUCUCCACUGUCUGAUAUUUUUUUCUUUCUCUGUGCCAAUGCCUGACAGAGAAGGAGUCACUGAUUAUAUGUCUUCAUUGUAAUUAAACUGGGCCAGAGCCCAUUCUCUGGCACCAACAGCGAGUGGCAUAGCUUGGCUCACAUCCAUACAGCUAAACACUCUUCCUCCUGUAACAGGAUGGCUUUAUCCUUUCUGCCUAUUGGGAACAGCCCUUGGCAAGUGCUACUUUCUGAAUCCUGCCCAGACACAGACUCUGAGAGUACUCCCUAGCACAAGCCAAAACUGUGCCAGGGAGCAUGCUAAUAAUUAAGCACUAUAGACUGUGCUACAGGCCUUGGUGCUGUUUAAUUUACUCGUAAAAGUGCAGCUGAGAGAAUGGGAGAGCCAAUGUCCUUGCUUUCAACUUAGGUAUAGACUCAUGCAGCAGCUGCAGGGGUUGUUUUGGCCCAUGUGAGGACAGCAGGCUCUGAAUGCUGUGUGAGCCUCUGGAAACAGUUGUCUUUCAAGCAUAAACUUGGUUAAGUAUUGGCAGGGUCUUUUAAUCUAGUGGAGGUGUGGGAAGCAAGUCCUUGGUUAAACUCCUGCCCCGCUGCCACAACUGCCAAG